GAAAUGCGAUAAGUAAUGUGAAUUGCAGAAUUCAGUGAAUCAUCGAAUCUUUGAACGCACAUUGCGCCCGUCAGCAUUCUGGCGGGCAUGCCUGUUCGAGCGUCAUUUCAACCCUCAGGACCCCCCUUUCGCGGGGAGGGACCUGGCGUUGGGGAUCGGCCCGCCCCCCGCGGCGGCGCCGUCCCCGAAAUCUAGUGGCGGUCUCGCUGCAGCCUCCCCUGCGUAGUAGUUACAACCUCGCAUCGGAGCGCGGCGCGGCCACGCCGUACAACCCCCGACUUUCUGAACGUUGACCUCGGAUCAGGUAGGAAUACCCGCUGAACUUAAGC
rnacentral:misc_RNA from 1 species